rnacentral:rRNA from 1 species
GACCUCGGAUCAGGCAGGACCACCCGCUGAACUUAAGCAUAUCAAUAAG